AAAAAAAACAACCACAAAACAUGUUCUUAGGGUCAUCCUAAUAAUCUGAAGCCAUUGAGUUUCAGCUUUAAGUGCAUUGGGUGAUUUCUUCUAUGUUUUUUGGGACAGGCUUUUAUGAACAAGCAGUAUACUGAAAAACAGCUGCCAAGUGUUAGGAGACUCUUGGGAAUCUGAGGUGCCUCUAUCCAAAUUCAUCAGAGGUAAUUGGCGAGGGCUCUUACGAUCCUUCAGUCUGUAAGACCUCUUGGAAAUGUAAUGAAGGCAUACUGAUGGCAGGCCCCCAGCACAAGAAGGACAUGGACCUGUGUGGGCCUCAGAGAUGACCACAGAGGCUGGAGCACCUCUGCUAUGAAAAAAGGUUGAGGGAGAUGAGCUUGUUCAGCUCGGAGAAGAGAAAGCUUCAGGGAAACCUCACUGUGGCCUUUUGAGGCUUAAUGAAAAAGAUGGGGACUAACUUUUUACGUAUUCUGAAAGUGAUACGGCAAGGGAGAACAGCUUUAAACUAAAAUCUGUGUUAAUUAAACAUAACAGUGCUUUCUUUUUCAAUUAGUCUGACUUGUAAUGCCAGUGGCCCUAAGCCACAUCCUGCACUGUGAUAAAAUAAAGCCAUGCUUACAGCUCCUUCCUCCAAAAGCGGAGCUCUGCAGCGGUGAGUAGUUGCUGAGGAGGUUCUAAAACCACAGUUAUUUUGGAAAUACAGAAAUAAAAUAUGUAUCUUGGGGGACCUCUGGUUGAGCUUUGUUGCAGGUUUUGAUGUUAAGCUGCACACAGCAGCUGGGAGGUUUUGUGCAGCAGAGAAAUGUUAUUUUCAUCACCGAAACCUGGCUGGUUUGAGCUGGGGUGUGGGGAGAGUACAAAGUACUUGCUCUUCACUACACAAAUUUAGUGAACUCUCUCAAAAUACCUCUUGAAAAGGGGAGGGUAGAAUGGUGAAAGGCAGCAAGGCCACGUAGAUAUGAGGAAGCCUGGGUGAUGGGUGCCUGAGGCAUCCUUCUGCAGCUGAAAACGGAAGAGUAGCAGCAUCAAAAUGGUGUGCCAACAUCAGGGAAGGUAGGUGGAGCAUACUAAAUAGAACUUUCCACUUCCUCAAAAGUUAUGGGUAAGAGAGCUCGGUACUGAAGUAGAAAAAGGUCUUCACCAGCCACCCAGAUGUGAGGAUAGCUGGCAUGAAUCCAGAGGAGAUAAAGGCACCUACAACAACAAAAAACCAACUAUCUGUGAGCCCAGACUCUUGCAAGGAAAGGGGAUAAAAAUACGUCUUCACUGGAUACUCUGCAAUGGUUAAAUAACUGUGGAAAAAAAUAAAUACACAUAAGUUGUAAAGA